AACCUUCUGUAUCCGUGCUGAGAUUUCGUCACGCACCAGACCACAAGGGCUGAUGAAACUCCCAAGAAAAGUGAAGCG
rnacentral:pre_miRNA from 1 species